rnacentral:rRNA from 2 species
GUGCCAAGCAGCCGCGGUAAUUCCAGCUCCAAUAGCGUAUAUUAAAGUUGUUGCAGUUAAAUCGUUCGUAACUUCUGGUUCUCGUUUACAUUACUUCCACGUCGGGAACGGGAACGCGUCCUCUUCCUCUUGAUAACUAUUUGCACCUUCACUGGCUGUGGAUAGGUAUCAAGAACUUUACUUUGAAAAAAUUAGAGUGUUUCAGGCAGGCGAUUGCCCGAAUACAUUAGCAUGGAAUAAUGGAAUAGGACUUCUUCCAUUUUGUUGGUUAUUGGUUGAAGUAAUGAUUAAUAGGGACAGGUGGGGGCAUUAAUAUUUAAUUGUCAGAGGUGAAAUUCUUGGAUUUAUUAAAGACUAACUAAUGCGAAAGCAUUUGCCAAGGAUGUUUUCAUUGAUCAAAAACGAAAGUUAGGGGAUCAAAAACAAUCAAAUACCGUCGUAGUCUUAACUAUAAACUAUACCGACUAGGGAUUGGAAGGGUUUCGAAACCCCUUUUCACACCCUAUUGAGAAAUCAAAGCCUUUGGGUUCUGGGGGGAGUAUGGUCGCAAGGCUGAAACUAAAAGGGAAUUGAACGAAAGGCCCCCCCAGGAAGGGGAGCUGCGCGCUUUUAUUUGACUCUCACACGCGGGAAACUCAUCCCGGCACGACACAUAUAUGAGAUACACAGAUAGAGAUCUUUUUUGUUGAUUCUAUGGAGUAGUGCAUGGUGCGUCGUUCUUAGGUGGAGGGGAUUUUUUCGUCUUGAAUUCCUCUAACGACCGAACAACCACCUCCUCCUGACUAACUAGCUGUGGUGAUUAUCGCCCGCUGACUGACUUACAAGGAACUAAGUGUGGCGAACCACAAUGGCAAGGUCCUGGACGGCGAAUAAACAAAAGUCCUUGUGCAUGUGCCAGGACGCGGACGGGAUUUCACAUUCCACAACCUAGCGCCUGGCCGGGUCACGUAUAACUGGAGAUGCGCGAUACCCUACGGCUCACGCUAACCCAAUGCGCUCGGCAAUAACUC